AAGAGGAAAGAACAACUGCUGGCCGUAAGGUCAGACCUGUCUGAGGAUGGAUCCCAGCUCUGUCCUUCACUAGAUAUUUAUUGAAGACAAAGUCUGUGUCAGGCACUGGGGGCCACGUGGAGAAAAAGACAGAGGGCCUGAGGGAUAAAGGCAGAAGAUAAACAAGUACACAAGUUACCAGGUAUUAUCUUCCCAACUGGAAUUCAUGCUCUUGGCCCUGGUCUCCAUUCUCAGCAUGACAGUUGAUGACAAGUCAGAAAAGGAGAUUGGAAAAGGAUGCCUGUUUAUCAUCUCUCUGAUUUGCUGAGGUCCUGCUGUUCUGGAUACCAUAAUCUCUUUGGAAUUUCUUGAGGAAACCCAGCCCCCCUUUGAAAAAGACAAACUUUAAUUUGUGUCUACCUUUUGGGAGGGGUACAUUGGCUGUUAAUCUAGAAACAUUGAGACACCAAGAAAAAGGUAUCAACCUAGAUUUACUCUAAUUCCGCUGUACAUGCCCAACCAUAAGUAUUUCAGUGUUUGUAAGUGACAUUUAAAGAAGUCCUUUUGGUGAUCAGCUGUACAAGGACUAAUAAACUCUGAUAAUAUGAUCAUAAACUCUGUCCUACUGCAAUAUAACAGUGGCCUCAGAGCUUCUUGACACUUUUUCAACACACUAGGGAGAUUUUCAGAAGCCCAGGGCAUAAAAUUUUGCUUCAUCCCAAAUUUAAUUCUUGAAAAGCAUCAGUCACAGGGAUCAGCAAACACUUUCUAUAUACGUCAGAAAAUAUUUUAUUUGGGGGCCAUUUUGUCCUUGUCCCAACUACUACUCCACUCUGCAGGUACAGUGUUAUAGGCAGUAAAUAAUUGAAUGAGCACGACUACAUUCCAAUAAAACUUUAUUUACAGAAACAGGCAGCUGGCUGGAUUUGUCUCACGG